UCCAGCAGCGAUAAAACAUUGAAUGCGCCAGUUUCCGAUGGAUCACUGAAGUUAAACAAGGUUGUGCUUUGCUGGUAUCUAGAUGAGUGGCCAAAGCGACCAUGUAGGCAAUCUCGUGCUGCUGGCU
rfam:Asian citrus Psyllid, Diaphorina citri - Florida Strain, whole genome shotgun sequence.